rnacentral:snRNA from 1 species
GAAUGUGAGAACAAUCUGGCUAUGGCAUCCGUCACCUCAUCGAUCACUGGAGCUGAUUUGACUGAUCUAGCUGGCUAAGCAGGUAUCCCUUUCCUCCCUCACUGCUUGAUUUGUGUCCCUGCUGAAGCCUCAGUCAAAAAGGACAACCUUUCCCAGUAGUGAAGGAUAGCUCUUUGGUUAAGGGUGUAGGAGUGUCUGUGCUCCCCUGCUACAACCUCCAAACUUGUUAUCAAGGUUUAUUUGUAGUAGAACAUAGGGUAGUCAGGCUUCUAAGAUUUCACACACGUCUAUAUGAGGUAUUGCAGAUGGCAAUCUGCCUUCCUAG